ACGGCUCAGUAACACGUGGAUAACCUGCCCUUGGGUCCGGCAUAACCCCGGGAAACUGGGGAUAAUUCCGGAUAACGCACAUAUGCUGGAAUGCUUUAUGCGUAAAAUGGAUUCGUCUGCCCAAGGAUGGGUCUGCGGCCUAUCAGGUAGUAGUGGGUGUAAUGUACCUACUAGCCUACGACGGGUACGGGUUGUGAGAGCAAGAGCCCGGAGAUGGAUUCUGAGACAUGAAUCCAGGCCCUACGGGGCGCAGCAGGCGCGAAAACUUUACAAUGCGGGAAACCGUGAUAAGGGGACACCGAGUGCCAGCAUCCUAUGCUGGCUGUCCAGGUGUGCAAAAUACACCUGUUAGCAAGGGCCGGGCAAGACCGGUGCCAGCCGCCGCGGUAACACCGGCGGCCCGAGUGGUGAUCGUGAUUAUUGGGUCUAAAGGGUCUGUAGCCGGCCGGAUAAGUCUCUUGGGAAAUCUGGCAGCUUAACUGUCAGGCUUUCAGGGGAUACUGUCUGGCUCGAGGCCGGGAGAGGUGAGAGGUACUUCAGGGGUAGGGGUGAAAUCUUGUAAUCCUUGAAGGACCACCAGUGGCGAAGGCGUCUCACCAGAACGGACCUGACGGCAAGGGACGAAAGCUAGGGGCACGAACCGGAUUAGAUACCCGGGUAGUCCUAGCCGUAAACGAUACUCGCUAGGUGUCGGCCACGGUGCGACCGUUGUCGGUGCCGUAGGGAAGCCGUGAAGCGAGCCACCUGGGAAGUACGGCCGCAAGGCUGAAACUUAAAGGAAUUGGCGGGGGAGCAC
rnacentral:rRNA from 1 species